AUGAUAAUUGAGAACAGUUUCACCUCUGCUGCCGCUCUCCAACUGCAGUCACAAGACUUGCUAUGGCCUUGCAAAAGGGAAGAUGUUUGGGGAGAUCUGCGAUAUGGAGGAGAACAGAGAACGUGUGUGAUAUCCGCCAGCUGGAUUCCAUCUGUCUUUUCUCUCUGGAGAUGGAGUUUCAAAGGCUACAUCCUAUCUACUGUCACACCCUCUCCCGACAUGAGAAGCUAAGUGCAAAGUUUGGCCAAAGUGUUGGAAAAACAGUAUCUCCUUUGUACAUCACCACUAUUUCCCUACCUACACAAAAGUAGCAUUCUUCCUGUUCUGGCAUGCAGGGUGUAUUGUUGCACUGUAUCACAACCUUUUAUUAAAUAAGAGGAGUGUUGCCAAAAUUA